UUGGCGACGUCCACCUGCUGGAUUUGGGCAUACAGUUUGCCGAUCACUUCGGCGAUCGACGGAUGCCAGGAGACGGCGCGAUUGACCGCCUGAGAAAGGGUAAGUUCGCCGGGCGCGGCGCUGUCGCCGGUGAGCGGCAUUGGUCCAUUCAGCGAGGGCAGUUCCUGCUGCUCAACCCAUUGCUGUGGGGCGAUGCGGGGCGGUUCCUCGACGGCAAUCGCCGGGAACGCGCACAGAUGUCCCGCCAGCCACCAACCUGUUAGCUGUCGUUUUCCCAUUUUUUUACUUCCCUAAGCUGCUUUUUGCCCCGGGCGGGCGUGCGCCCGGGGUCGU
rnacentral:sRNA from 1 species